UCAUAGAUGUGAUCAUGACUGCUGCAUGGAUUCCAGCCACUGUCAAGCGUGUUCUAGGAAAUUGAGGCAGUUCUGCUCAGAAGCUUCCAUCUUUGCACCUUAAGUCCAAAAGCAACUCUUAAUGUGAGGCCUUGUGAAAUCUCAUAUAGCUUAGCAUCAUCAUGUCCCUGAGCCUAUCCAUUCUUGAAAUGUCUCUGGGAUAUAGUCUAACCACUACUGAAAGUCUUUUUUCUGGACCAUUAUGUCUCACAAAUAUUAUGUCUCACAAAUUUCUGAUGGCAGUUAGCUCAUAUCAGAGGUUCUAAAGACUGCUGAACAGUACCACUUGGCAUCAGGGAUACCACGUGUGUCCACAUCUGUAGUGGAAGUGGAGUCAGCCAUACCCAACCAUAUCAAAUGGGUUCUCCAAAGGAAAGCAGAUUUUGUUACCAGAAAGAGGAAAAUUUGCCGAGCGACCCCCAACAGAGAUACCCUUCCACCAUGGCAAUCUCUGCGUAUAUCUGGAUUUCCUCACAUAUUCCCCAAGGCAACAUCAGUUGUGAAAUACCAGAAUGGAUACAGCAGACAUCUCUCUUCUGAACACCAAGCGCAGAAUCUGAUGCACGGCGCUAAUGGUGAUAGGAUGCUGCAUCUCACAAAGACGAGGGAACAUAUCGAAAUUUUCAGAUCCACAGCUUCUGGGGCUCUCGCGUUGAACCGUGAUUGGAGCUUUGCAGACUUAAAAGAUUAAAAAAAUGAUGAUCUCCAUGCAUAAAUAAAAAUAACUGAAGUAGAACCCCAAGUAAGUACCUAUAAAGUGGACUUGAAAAUAUUAAUUAAAAAAU
rnacentral:lncRNA from 1 species